ensembl:lncRNA LINC02028 long intergenic non-protein coding RNA 2028
CGCGGCGGGGGAAACCCGAGCUCCCAACAAAACGGUUCCAUCUUUGGCUAGGCCUUUGGCACCAAAGAAGGCCCAGAGAGGUUUAACAACUUCCUCAGAAUCACACAGCUUCCAAAUGGUUGGGUUGGGUUUACAUUUAGGCGGUCUUGCUCCAGAGCCAGUGCUCCUAACCUUUGCAAGCCACGAACCUCAAGAAAGUGGAGAAGGAAACGCUGGGAAAUCUGGAAGUCAGACAUGCCUAGUUUAUCUCCCGGGAGCUGACUUCAUUUCUAAACG